CCUACGGGUGGCAGCAGUAGGGAAUCUUCCACAAUGGGCGAAAGCCUGAUGGAGCAACGCCGCGUGGGUGAAGAAGGUCUUCGGAUCGUAAAACCCUGUUGUUAGAGAAGAAAGUGCGUGAGAGUAACUGUUCACGUUUCGACGGUAUCUAACCAGAAAGCCACGGCUAACUACGUGCCAGCAGCCGCGGUAAUACGUAGGUGGCAAGCGUUAUCCGGAUUUAUUGGGCGUAAAGGGAACGCAGGCGGUCUUUUAAGUGUGAUGUGAAAGCCUUCGGCUUAACCGGGGUAGUGCAUUGGAAACUGGGAGACGUGAGUGCAAAAGAGGAGAGUGGAACUCCAUGUGUAGCGGUGAAAUGCGUAGAUAUAUGGAAGAACACCAGUGGCGAAAGCGGCUCUCUGGUCUGUAACUGACGCUGAGGUUCGAAAGCGUGGGUAGCAAACAGGAUUAGAUACCCCGGUAGUC
rnacentral:rRNA from 1 species